rnacentral:rRNA from 1 species
AGGAUGAACGCUGGCGGCGUGCCUAAUACAUGCAAGUCGAGCGAACGGGCGAGAAGCUUGCUUCUCUGAUGUUAGCGGCGGACGGGUGAGUAACACGUGGAUAACCUACCUAUAAGACUGGGAUAACUUCGGGAAACCGGAGCUAAUACCGGAUAAUAUUUUGAACCGCAUGGUUCAAAAGUGAAAGACGGUCUUGCUGUCACUUAUAGAUGGAUCCGCGCUGCAUUAGCUAGUUGGUAAGGUAACGGCUUACCAAGGCAACGAUGCAUAGCCGACCUGAGAGGGUGAUCGGCCACACUGGAACUGAGACACGGUCCAGACUCCUACGGGAGGCAGCAGUAGGGAAUCUUCCGCAAUGGGCGAAAGCCUGACGGAGCAACGCCGCGUGAGUGAUGAAGGUCUUCGGAUCGUAAAACUCUGUUAUUAGGGAAGAACAUAUGUGUAAGUAACUGUGCACAUCUUGACGGUACCUAAUCAGAAAGCCACGGCUAACUACGUGCCAGCAGCCGCGGUAAUACGUAGGUGGCAAGCGUUAUCCGGAAUUAUUGGGCGUAAAGCGCGCGUAGGCGGUUUUUUAAGUCUGAUGUGAAAGCCCACGGCUCAACCGUGGAGGGUCAUUGGAAACUGGAAAACUUGAGUGCAGAAGAGGAAAGUGGAAUUCCAUGUGUAGCGGUGAAAUGCGCAGAGAUAUGGAGGAACACCAGUGGCGAAGGCGACUUUCUGGUCUGUAACUGACGCUGAUGUGCGAAAGCGUGGGGAUCAAACAGGAUUAGAUACCCUGGUAGUCCACGCCGUAAACGAUGAGUGCUAAGUGUUAGGGGGUUUCCGCCCCUUAGUGCUGCAGCUAACGCAUUAAGCACUCCGCCUGGGGAGUACGACCGCAAGGUUGAAACUCAAAGGAAUUGACGGGGACCCGCACAAGCGGUGGAGCAUGUGGUUUAAUUCGAAGCAACGCGAAGAACCUUACCAAAUCUUGACAUCCUUUGACAACUCUAGAGAUAGAGCCUUCCCCUUCGGGGGGGCAAAGUGACAGGUGGUGCAUGGUUGUCGUCAGCUCGUGUCGUGAGAUGUUGGGUUAAGUCCCGCAACGAGCGCAACCCUUAAGCUUAGUUGCCAUCAUUAAGUUGGGCACUCUAAGUUGACUGCCGGUGACAAACCGGAGGAAGGUGGGGAUGACGUCAAAUCAUCAUGCCCCUUAUGAUUUGGGCUACACACGUGCUACAAUGGACAAUACAAAGGGCAGCGAAACCGCGAGGUCAAGCAAAUCCCAUAAAGUUGUUCUCAGUUCGGAUUGUAGUCUGCAACUCGACUACAUGAAGCUGGAAUCGCUAGUAAUCGUAGAUCAGCAUGCUACGGUGAAUACGUUCCCGGGUCUUGUACACACCG